CUGGCUCAGGAUGAACGCUAGCGGCAGGCUUAACACAUGCAAGGUCGAGGGGCAGCGGGAUGUAGCAAUACAUUGCCGGCGACCGGCGGAUGGGUGCGUAACGCGUAUGCAACCUACCUAUACAGGGGAAUAACCUUUCGAAAGGGAGACUAACACCCCAUAGUAUUGAUUUAAGGCAUCUUAGAUUAAUUAAAUAUUUAUAGGUAUAAGAUGGGCAUGCGUAUGAUUAGCUAGUUGGUAAGGUAACGGCUUACCAAGGCGACGAUCAUUAGGGGUUCUGAGAGGAAGGUCCCCCACACUGGUACUGAGACACGGACCAGACUCCUACGGGAGGCAGCAGUGAGGAAUAUUGGUCAAUGGGCGCAAGCCUGAACCAGCCAUGCCGCGUGCAAGGAAGACGGCCUUAUGGGUUGUAAACUGCUUUUACAUAAGACUAACCGUAUACUUGCGAAUAUACCUGAAUGUAUUAUGAGAAUAAGGAUCGGCUAACUCCGUGCCAGCCGCCGC
rnacentral:rRNA from 1 species